GGGAUGUGACAGGUCUGCUCUCUCUUCUGCAGCUGUCUGAGCGCAGCACCAGGGUGCAGGCGGAGGGGGCUGUGAAAACUCCUGUGAGUUGGCUGAUACUGUGGGCAGGGAAGGCGUGUGACCGAGUGAGGAGAGCUGUGUCCAAGCCUCCUAGGUACUAAUCCUCACUCAUCACUCCUCUUGGAGCACCAGUUCACAGUCUCAUAGUUCUUGCAGAGGCAGAUGUUCCUCAUGUCCUCCAACUGGGGCUCUCACCACUGGACAUUCAUCUUGUCACAAGAGCCCUUGUGCCAUGCUCUGUGGUUGCCCUCUGGUGCUGCUCUUGGCCUCAUCCUUUGCUUUCUGCCCCUCAUGCUCUGUUUCAGGAUGUACCAUCAGCCUUUUGCAGUCAGAGAAUGAUGAUGGCCCUGCCCUGGCUGGAGAUGGGUUCUGGCUGCUGGAGCAAGAGUGAAAUUUUGAAGAAAUUCCUCCUAUGUCCAGCCUAGGAGGAGAGAAGAGACCAACCCUCACCUGGCCACAGCCUUCUUUCAGACAAAAUGGAGAACUCUCUGCCCUGUACAUAAGGAUGGAGAAGCACACAGAGCAGGUUACAGAUCUCUCCUGGGCAGACUGAGCAGAAGGGGAGCACUGCCCCACCACAGCUGGCAGACAUGAUGCAGGGAAGACACCUCACGUGCCAUAACAGAGAGGAGAUCCAAGGGGCACUCACUGCUUGAGGAAUACAGUGUGGAUCCAAUUGCCACUCCGAGUGCUGCAAAUGCCAGUGACAUCCUGUACAGGGAGAUGUCUGGCUUAAGCUCCAGCAGAAAUGAGAACAGAAGUCCUUACCUGAGCAGAAAGAGGAGCUUUUUCAAUAGGAUUUGUAUGGGUGUUUCUUUUUCAAAUUCCCAGAUCAUUUGGGGUGGGCAGUGCAUCCACAGGUCUGGGCUGCUGCUGUCACUGGAAGGAAAGUGGAGGUGGCUCCUGACAGUUCUGCUCCAUUUUUGUAUCACCCCCAUCUCCCCUGAAACAGUUGCUCUGUCUCCCAGAAGCAGUUCUUCUAGUGACAAAACAUCUCCCGACCUGGCUUCAGCUCUUUUUCCCCCUCCACAUACACACAGGUUGUUUGAAGUUACUUCACAGGGUUGGGUGCGGAGCAUGAGGAUGAGGAGAUGUCUGAUUCAUGCCGUAGCAGUACCUCCUCUGCAAAGGGCAGCAAGGCUGUUUGGGUAGCUGGGACAUCAACCUUUGAGCCCCCAGUUUCUGCUACAGGUGUCUGGAGCCCCAGGAGACAGUCACUUGGCACAUGGACCACCUCUUCCACCAUCCUCAGCCCCAAGGCUGAGAUGGGAAUCCAUCCCAUCCUAGAUCAUGUGGAGCCUCAGUCAGAUGAGAGUUCACCUCUGCCAGUCUGUGAAGGUCUGGGAGAGGAAUUGUGGUGAGUAAUUUUGGCCUUGCUCCUGUGGCAGCACCUGUGGUUGCCCUUAUGAGACAGAUUCCAUGAGUCUGACUGCAGUGCAGAAAGGGGAGAAGAGAGGGGUCACCCUUCAAUAGUAGCACCUGUUCUGCAGCCCCAGAGAGAGCUCAGGCUUGGGCAGGGAGUCACCUUCCCAUCAUCAGAGGGACAUCCCCUCCACACAGUGCCUCCAACUCACCCUACUGGGAAUAUGGCACUCGGUGGCCCAUUAGUGCCUGGUGUCAGUGCCCCCAAACCUUGCUUGUCCAGCUCUGUUCAGUGUCCAAAACCUCUCAGACAAGGAAGCCGCCUCAUCUAAGGAAGAGCAGACCCAGAGAUGGUGCUUCACGUAAAUAGCCCCUCAAAGCACUUCUAAGUGACUAAUCACCUUCUCCAGGGGCUUCUCACCCAGCCCAGAGUCUCUGUUCAGCCAGAGGGCAUCAGCUGCUGUAAUUAUUCAGAAUCAUCAAUCCCACACAAAAGAGCUCACUUCCCAAAGAGAGCCCUUCCUGUGCAGUAAAGGCACUCACAGGCGGGUGAA